UUGCCCCUUUAAUAAUAGCUGGCGUAGCCCUUUAAAAGAGCAGACAGAUUGCACCAGGUGCGUGGUUGCGUACGUCAGGUAAUCACGUAGCUAUAUAGGCUCAGGUGAGUUCGCUUUCUUUGUGCCAUUGUACUGAUGUGACCUGUUGCUGUAGGUCUUGUGUCUCCUUCACUCCUUGGUAAAGAUUAGUUGGGUAUAUCCAGGCAUCCGCGGUGAGUAUGUGAGUGUUAUACACGCAAAAGAGUGCCAGUUGCUGCUUUGCUGCGGUUAAAUCAUCGUUCCCGUUUGAGAAGCGGGUUUGCAGUGCACGCUCGUGGUUGUAUCGAGCGCCUGCAAGUUCAUUGAACAUUGUUAAUGCCUGUACGAUCCCCAUGGUGAAGCCGCUCUAAACCUGUAACUUGAUUUCGGGAUUGCAUGGUGUUCGCCACCUCGCUGGCGCAAUUUUAUGUAUGGUUUAACUUUAGUUAUUUAGUAAUCUGGGGUUAUUGUAUUUGGGUUGCUGCCUGCAUAUUGACAUCGCUCACUUACGGAGCAGAUUAACGGUGACGCAAUCCUUUUGAUUUUUAUUUAUUUGCCGAUUGUUUAACUGAAAUUGUGUGUUUGUUUGUUUCUUUAUUUGUUUUCGGUUUUGUUGUAAUCAUUAGCUCUUACCAUUUAGGUUGUUUUUGAAUUGAUUUAGUAUUUUGAUUAUUUUGUUAUUCGAGUUGUAUUAUUUCUUUGAUCUGCUUUACAUUAGAACUGCUCAAGAAUGUAGUGUAGUUAUUGUGGGUGAUUGUUUUUUUUUAUUUUAUUUAAUUUGUCUUAUUUUGGCUUAUUUGGUUUGUGUUGGGUGGAU